rnacentral:lncRNA from 1 species
ACUCACCGCAAGUCCCGCUGCAGCACGUCACUGAUGAAGGUCUCGUAGCGCAGCACUUUCUCCCCCGUGGCCUCCACCGCCCGCCGCUUAGGGGGCGUCGCCAUGAUGGGCUCCUGGGGAGUGGGGAGGGGGAAGACCAUGUUGACCGAUCCAGUUUGGCCUCACACACAGUUCAUCUCUACCCUCUCAACGCUGGGAAUCGGCUUGUCCGGCUCAAGCUGGAGGUUCAGCCUUCCGCCCCUCCCAACUCGGGGACCCGACCACCCAGGGACACCCAAGCGCGGCCUUUACCUCAGGCCGCCAGCAAUAAGAACGGUUGGUUAGAUUUUCAAACAAGAACUUAUAACCCAGCAAGAAUGGGCCUUUGCCUGGAGAAGAAUCCAGACCAUGGGAUGAAUCCCCAAAUGCUAUUUCCAUCUGUAGAGCCUAGAGCACCCACCCCUACCAAGGAAGUCUUCCCAGAUAAUUUGUGUUUCAUAUGUAAAAGCAAGUUUUUUUUUUCAAAUGCUCAAAACCCAAGCAAGUUAAGCCCUUCCUUCCUUCCUUCCUUCCUUUCUUUUCUCUCUCUCUCUCUUUCUUUCUCUCUCUCUCUCUUUCUUUCUUUUUUUUCUUUUUUAGACAGGGUCUGUGUCCCCUAGGCUGGAGUGCAGUGGUAUGAUCAUGACUCAUUGCAGCCUCAACCUCCCAGGCUCAAGUGAUCCUCCCGCUUCAGCCUCUGGAGUACCUGGGACUACUGGCAUACACCACCACGCCCAUCUAAUUUUUAAAAAAGUUUUUGUAGAGACAGAGUCUCACUAUGUUGCCCAGGCUGGUCUCAAACUCCUAGGCUUAAGUGAUUUGCCCACCUCGGCCUCCCAAAAUGCCGAGAUUAUAGGCAUGAGCCAGCACACCUGGCCAAGUUAAGCUUUUCUUUGCCCUUAGAACGAGAUAAUUGUAAAAUGAAAACAUUGAGAUUAGUUUUUUUGGUCUGUAAAUCUCAUGUUACAUAUAGUUUAAAUUACAUUGAGUGUGAUUGGAAUAGAUACUAGGUAGAAAAAUAUUAUCUAGUUAAUCUAUACCACUUUCCUGUGAAAAGAGAGAAAAGAAGACACAUAUUUAUUUAACAGAGAACACAAUUCUGAUGGGCUGGAGAUGAGUCUGUGUAAGUCUAUUAACUUAUAUUUCACAAAAAAGAAUUUUUUACUUAAAAAUGUAUUUCCAACUUUAUUUUUACAUUUCAAACCUACAGAAAAGUUGACAGUGAACACUCAUAUACCCUGCACUUAAGUUCGCCAGUUGUUUUAUUUUGAAUUUUUAAAAUUUUUUUAGAGGCAGGGUCUUGCUCUCUUGCCUAGGCUAGAAUGCAGUGGUGUGAUCUCGGUUCACUGCAACCUCUGCCACCGGGCUCAAGCAAUCCUCCCGCCUAAGCCUCCUGCAUAGCUGGGACUACAGGCAUGAGCCACCAUGCCCAGCUAAUUUUUUGUAGAAAUGGGGUUUCACCAUGUUGCCCAGGCUGGUCUCGAAUGCCUGAGCUCAAUCAGUUCGCCUAACUCGGCCUCCCAGGGUGCUGGGAUUACAGGCGUGAGCCACCAUGCCCGGCCUGGAUUCACUCGUUGUUAAUAUUUGAUCACAUUUGCUUUCUUUCCAGACCAUAGGAUAAUUGUUGACAUGGCUGCAUAGCAUUCCAUUCUUUGGAUGGCCUCAGAUUUUUGAGCCACUCCUCUGUCACUGGAUAUUUGAAUGUGUUCAGAUAUUUUCGUUGUUAUAACCAGGAUGGGAUAAGUCUUUGCUGUCAAAUUUUUGUGCGGAGCCAUGAUUAUUUCCUUGUGAUAAAUUCCUAGAAGUAGAAUUUAUAGAUUUUUUUUGAGACAGAGUCUCACUUUGUUGCCAAGGCUGGAGUGUAGUGGUGUGAUCUCUGCUCAUGGCAACCUCUGCCUCCUGGUUUCAAGUGAUUCUUCUGCUUCAGCCUCUGGAGUAGCUAGGACUACGGGCACACACUACCAUGCCGCCUAGCUAAUUUUUGUAUUUUUAAUAGACACAGGGUUUCACCAUGUUGGCCAGGCUGGUCUCGAACUUGUGGCCUCAAGUGAUCUGCCCACCUCGGCCUCCCAGGGCGCUGGGAUUACAGGCAUGAGCCACCUCACCCGGCUGAAUUUAUGGAUUUAAAGGAGGUCACUGCAUUGUAAAUCAAGUGUUGAGUGACAGUGGUACGCAUAACAGUGAACCUCCUCAUCUAAGCUCUAUAUCAGGGGUCAGCAAAUUAUGGCCCCUGGUUUGCUGACCCUUUACAGUUUCCUAUAGCCUGCAAACUAGGAAUACUAUUUACAUCUUUAAAGGGCUUUAGAAAAGUAAAACUAAUAUUUUGUGACACAUCAAAAUUAUAUGAAAUUUGCAUUUUAGUGUCCAUUAAUAAAAUUUUCUUGGAACACAAGUCUCACUCAUGCGUUUACAUAUUGUCUGUUACUGCUUUCACGCUAUAAUGGCAGAGUUGAGUAGUUGCCAAAGAGACCACAUGGUAUGGACAUCCUAAAGUAUUUACUAUCUGGCCUUUUACAGAAAAGGUUUGCCAACCCCUGCUCUGUACAAUGCCUGUCACCAAUACAGAGGUUGGGGCUCUAACCAGGUGGGUCUCCCUGGCUUCCACUGGCGACCUCUUAACCUGGCUUAUGGGUGCACAUUUUCAGGCUGGUGCUUCUGGGAGAUAUGAGAGACACAGUCAGCUUGUUUCCAGCUCCAAGAUGUGAGAUGGACUGUGUCUCUUAUGUCUGCAUUUGAAUCUUCUCUCCUUUCCAUCCAACUUCCUGCCCCCAGCUCUGACUCAUAGGUCUCUGUCUUUGCCUUUUCCCAAGAAGAGCAAGAAAUGACUAAGGCCCAGGGGAGGCUGCAUUUCCCUGAUAGCUAAUGAUGUAGAACAUCUUGCCAUGUGCUUAUUUGUCAUCUACAUGUCCUUUAUGGUGAAAUGUCUCUUCACAUUCUUUGCUCAUUUACCAAAUGGAUUGCUUAAAAAAAAAAAAAACUUGAGUUUUGAGAGUUCCUUACAUAUUCUAGGUAUGAGUUCUUUGUCAGAUAUGUGGUUUGCAAAUAUUUCCUCCCAGGCUGUAGUUUGUCUUUUUGUCCUCUUAACAAGGUCUUUGUUAGAGCAAACACAUUUAAUUUUGAAGUCUAGUUUAUUGAUUUAAAAACAUUUUUUGGAUCAUGCUUUUGUUGUUGUGUCUAAGAACUCUUCACAAGCCGUAGCUCCCAAAGACGUUCUCCUGUGUUUUAUUUUUAAAGUUUUUUAAUUUUAUGUUUGACAUUUAAAUCUGUGAUCUGUUUUUAAAAAACAGCUUUAUUGAGAUGUAAUUCACAUACAAUAAAACCCACACAUUUGAAGUUUACAGUUCAGCAGUUUUUAAUAUAUUCACAGAGUUGUACAAACAUCACCACAAUCUAACUUUAUUUUUUUAAUAAUUUUUUUUUUUUUGAGACAGGGUCUCACGCUGUCACCCAGGCUGGAGUGCAGUGGUAGGAUCUUGGCUCACUACAGCCUCAACCUCUCAAACGCAAGCGAUCCUCCCUGCCUCACCCCCUCAAGUAGCUGAGACUAUAGGCAUGUGCCACCACGCCGGCUAAGUUUUGUAUUUUUUGUAGAGAUGGGGUUCCACUGUGUUACCCAGGCAGGUCUUGAACUCCUGAGCUCAUUCGAUCCACCCACCUCGGCCUCCCGAAGUACUGGGAUUACAGGCGUGAGGCACCACGCCCAGCAAUCUAGAGUAUUUUCAUCACCCCAAAUAGAACUCCUGUACCCACUCCUCAGUGUGUUCUCCCCACCCCAGCCCUAAGCAACCACAAAUUUAAUUUCAUCUGUAAAAAUUUUUGUAUUCUGCACAUUUCAAUAAAUAGAAUCAUAUACACUAUGUGGCCUUUUAUGCCUGGCUUCUUUCACUUAGUAUAAUGUUUUUAAGUUUCAUUUGUCCAUGUUAUAAUACUUAUUAGUACUUUAUUCCUUUCUAGGGCUGAAUAAUAGUCCCUUGUGCAUAUAUGCCACAUUUUGUUUAUUUCUCUUACCAAUUUCAGUAAAAUGUAAAGUCCUUACUCCUUUUAAGUCCCUUUUCCUCCCCCU